AGCUCCAGUAGCGUAUAUUAAAGUUGUUGCGGUUAAAAAGCUCGUAGUUGGAUUUCUGCUUGGGACGGGUGGUCCCCUUCUUAAGGGUGAAUCUUCUUCGGCCUAGGCAUCUACCUGAUGUGCCGAUUUGUGCUUGAUUGCAUGAUUGGUGUUUUAGGUCAUUUACUUUGAGGAAAUUAGAGUGUUUAUAGCAUGCAAUUGCAUUGAAUAUAUUAGCAUGGGAUAAUAAUAUAAGACUGAGUUUUUAUUUUGUUGGUUUCUAAGAAUUCAGUAAUGAUAAAUAGGGGUUGUCGGGGGUACUUGUAUUAACGCGUCAGAGGUGGAAUUCUUGGAUUGCGUUACGACAAACUACUGCGAAAGCAUUUACCAAGGAUGUUUUCA
rnacentral:rRNA from 1 species